UGCUAUUUUUUUCUUCUUGUUUUAUUAUAUGUACUUUUGUGAUCUUUUGUAUAUUAAGUGCAUAAUAAUUCACGUAAUUAAAACUGUAAAAUAAUUAUAAAAUUUCAGAACAAGGAUAUACCCAAUGUGAGAAAUGACAGUUCAAAUAAUGGAUAUAAAACUGACAAUCAAUCAUCAGCUGUACCAAUAAGGAUCAUUUAAGGGAUAAGCC
rnacentral:lncRNA from 1 species